rnacentral:rRNA from 1 species
UAACGCGUAUCCAACCUGCCUGUUACCACGGCACAGCCCGUCGAAAGGCGGAUUAAUGCCGUAUGUGGUCCUUUGCGGGCAUCUAAUUAGGACUAAAGGUUCAGCGGUAACAGAUGGGGAUGCGUCCGAUUAGCUAGACGGCGGGGUAACGGCCCACCGUGGCGACGAUCGGUAGGGGUUCUGAGAGGAAGGUCCUCCACACUGGAACUGAGACACGGUCCAGACUCCUACGGGAGGCAGCAGUGAGGAAUAUUGGUCAAUGGGCGGAAGCCUGAACCAGCCAAGUAGCGUGAGGGAAGACUGCCCUAUGGGUUGUAAACCUCUUUUGUGCGGGGAUAAAGUGUGGGACGUGUCCCAUAUUGCAGGUACCGCACGAAUAAGGACCGGCUAAUUCCGUGCCAGCAGCCGCGGUAAUACGGAAGGUCCGGGCGUUAUCCGGAUUUAUUGGGUUUAAAGGGAGCGCAGGCCGUCCUUUAAGCGUGCUGUGAAAUGCCGCGGCUCAACCGUGGCACUGCAGCGCGAACUGGAGGACUUGAGUACGCACGAGGUAGGCGGAAUUCGUGGUGUAGCGGUGAAAUGCUUAGAUAUCACGAAGAACUCCGAUUGCGAAGGCAGCUUACCGGAGCGCAACUGACGCUGAGGCUCGAAAGCGCGGGUAUCGAACAGGAUUAGAUACCCUGGUAGUCCGCGCGGUAAACGAUGGAUGCCCGCCGU